UCAAUGCUUUUCAACCCCUGUGACUGGAAACCCUCUGGAAGGGGCUCCCACCUGCUGUUUUCCCGCUGUGGGUUUCAAAUCGGCAAACGAGCACACUCAAGACGAGGGAACGGAGUUUUCGUGAAGCCGGGUGUCCUCCUGGAAAUGAAGUCUGGGACCCUCCACCCUGGUGCUCUGCUGAUUGCCACAAACAAUGAGGCAUUUUCCACCACACAAAGAAGAAUUAAACCGCCCGAGGACUCGCUUUGGCUUUUGUCUGUUUCCUAUUUUGGGCUUCCUUUGAAAAAGUGGUUUUGCUGCUUUAUAAAGUUUGAUCAUCUCUGAA